rnacentral:rRNA from 1 species
GGCUACCAAGGCGACGAUCAGUAGCCGAACUGAGAGGUUGAUCGGCCACAUUGGGACUGAGACACGGCCCAGACUCCUACGGGAGGCAGCAGUGGGGGAUAUUGCACAAUGGGGGAAACCCUGAUGCAGCAACGCCGCGUGAGGGAAGAAGGUUUUCGGAUUGUAAACCUCUGUCUUUGGUGACGAAGAAUGACGGUAGCCAAGGAGGAAGCUCCGGCUAACUAC